rnacentral:pre_miRNA from 1 species
AGUGCUUGGUUCCUAGUAGGUGUUCAAUAAGUGUUUGUGACAUAAUUCACUUAUUGAGCACCUCCUAUCAAUAAAGUACUGUGUUAGGCUUUGG